AUACGUAGGGGGCAAGCGUUAUCCGGAAUUAUUGGGCGUAAAGAGUGCGUAGGUGGUUUUGUAAGCGCGGGGUGAAAGGCUAUGGCUCAACCAUAGUAAGCCUUGCGAACUGUGAGACUUGAGUGCAGGAGAGGAAAGUGGAAUUCCUAGUGUAGCGGUGAAAUGCGUAGAUAUUAGGAGGAACACCAGUGGCGAAGGCGACUUUCUGGACUGUAACUGACACUGAGGCACGAAAGCGUGGGGAGCAAACAGGAUUAGAUACCCUGGUAGUCCACGCCGUAAACGAUGAGCACUAGGUGUCGGGGUCGCAAGGCUUCGGUGCCGCAGUUAACGCAUUAAGUGCUCCGCCUGGGGAGUACGCACGCAAGUGUAAA
rnacentral:rRNA from 1 species